rnacentral:rRNA from 1 species
CAGUAGCCGCGGGAAUACGUAGGUGGCAAGCGUUAUCCGGAAUUAUUGGGCGUAAAGCGCGCGUAGGCGGUUUUUUAAGUCUGAUGUGAAAGCCCACGGCUCAACCGUGGAGGGUCAUUGGAAACUGGAAAACUUGAGUGCAGAAGAGGAAAGUGGAAUUCCAUGUGUAGCGGUGAAAUGCGCAGAGAUAUGGAGGAACACCAGUGGCGAAGGCGACUUUCUGGUCUGUAACUGACGCUGAUGUGCGAAAGCGUGGGGAUCAAACAGGAUUAGAUACCCCCGUAGUCCCUGUCUCUUAUAC